ensembl:lncRNA
CCAUGAACAGGAAAUUGUGCUGGGGCGAAAUACUUCCCUCGGGGAAUAAGUUUUCGCAGCUUUGUUCCGCACAUAAUUGUAAAAAUAUGCAUUUGACAAGACGGUAAUCCCAUAAAUGUACGCGCCACACACAGUGGAAGGUAAACAUAAGAUUAGUAUUUCACACAUAUUUAAUCGAAAACGUUAUGCGCGGCGGUUAAAAAAAUUCCCUAAUUAUAUCAGGAUCUAUGUACUGUACUACUGCAGUAGUAUUACUACUUCCUCUACUACGCAGUAUUUCCAUGUACUGCACUGCCUUUGUCUUCAGUGACUGUGUUUACAGUUUGUCGUUGAGCUCAACCUGAGUUUAAAACGAGCAGAGAUCGUCGCUGAAUUGUUCACCACCAUGCCACCCAAGAGAGACGCAGGUGCGACUCCAGCACAGCCGCCCGUGAAGAUGAUAAAGAUCGAUAACGUUACAGAUGCACAAGAGUUUGGCUGUCAUUCAGGCGAGGAUAAGUUCAGGCUCCAUGAAGAGGCCAGCUACUCACCUUAUCCCAACAAUGACCUUGACACUAUUGAAUUUGAUGAAGAAAAUGUUGCAAGCCCGGGAAUCAGAACAGACACCAUCAGCCUUCUCAUGAAAAUAGAGCAGCUACAGGCACAACUGAAAUAUGAACGCAGAUGCAGAAUUUUGGCAGAGAGAGAGCUGAGGGAACUCAAAGAGAUGAACACUCUCAUGAUGCAGAUGAGGCACACGGCACAUGAACUGCGGGUCACCCUGGAUCAUGUUCUCCACGGAGGCGAAGCAGCAGUUGCGCCACAAAACUCUGAUGAAACUAUCUCUUUCCUGACUGAGCCUGAGGCAGAAAUGAGAGCACUUCAUAAUAUACCAGAGGAUGACCACAAUUUCCUCUAUCUCUCAGAGAAUCUUCGAGUGCCAAAAAAUCUUUAUGAGCGCAUUGCAGAAAUUGCAGACUACAAGAAGUACACUUCAGCCCUGCUCAUGAUACUUUUUGAUAGAGAAACGCUGGCAACCCACUCUCUGCAGGGCCGUAGGAAUACCUUUACAGGAGAGGAUUGCCACAAGCCACAGCUCCCACCUGAGAUUUUGAAAAGUUUAAUCGAUCAUGUGGCAGCCAAGUUCAGUGUUGACAGCAGCCAAAUAAAAACCGCAAUCCGCACAAAGUUGAACAAUGAGGAUAAAUUAUUGAAGAAGAGACUGGGGUUGGGUAAAACAGAAAACAGAGCUAAUGCUGAGCCAAGCUUUUGCCAAGAUGCCUCGCUUCUGCCCGACGACGGAGCAAUGACAAGUGACUCUCAGUUAUAGUCGUUCACCUCUGUCUUCGUCCGUUGGUCACACGUAUUUCAUGUCCGAUAGAAAUAGGUCACAGAUUGCCUUUUUUGUCCACUAUAGUUCAUUCAGCAUUAAAAUCUAGUUCUUUAUUUUUUAAGAAUGAUAAGUAUAUAUAUUUUUACGUUGACAGCAGUUAAUGUCUGUUAGAUUGUUUUCAGAGUGUCACCUGGUGGCCACACCCAGGCGUUUGAUAGCACUAUAAACUGCCGCAUAUGUAAUCAUUAAUACUGUAAACAAGUGUUCUUAGGUUUUCUUACUGUAUUUAAGAGAGUGGUUAUAGGUUAAUAACCUUUUAAGCUAGAAUCAGUCAGUCAGCUGACCUUUACAUGUGUAAGUAGGACAGGGAUCUCAUUUUUGCCCUGUUGUUCAUUCCAACUUGUGCAUUGCAGGUAAUAAUGUGUUUCAAGGUAUACUGUAUGUGAUAACUGUUUCAAAGUGUUUGUCAUGUGUUUUCUGUGCUUCACUCUAACAAACAAUAAAGUUUUGCAGCUGA